rnacentral:rRNA from 1 species
AGUGAACGUUGGCGGUAGGCCUAACACAUGCAAGUCGAACGGCAGCACAGUAAGAGCUUGCUCUUACGGGUGGCGAGUGGCGGACGGGUGAGGAAUACAUCGGAAUCUACUUUUUCGUGGGGGAUAACGUAGGGAAACUUACGCUAAUACCGCAUACGACCUACGGGUGAAAGCAGGGGAUCUUCGGACCUUGCGCGAUUGAAUGAGCCGAUGUCGGAUUAGCUAGUUGGCGGGGUAAAGGCCCACCAAGGCGACGAUCCGUAGCUGGUCUGAGAGGAUGACCAGCCACACUGGAACUGAGACACGGUCCAGACUCCUACGGGAGGCAGCAGUGGGGAAUAUUGGACAAUGGGCGCAAGCCUGAUCCAGCCAUACCGCGUGGGUGAAGAAGGCCUUCGGGUUGUAAAGCCCUUUUGUUGGGAAAGAAAAGCAGCAGGUUAAUACCCCGCUGUUCUGACGGUACCCAAAGAAUAAGCACCGGCUAACUUCGUG